rnacentral:sRNA from 1 species
UUCUGCCAUUGAGAGAUUGGUGUUGUGACUGCGGUCUGACUGCGUCGAUGAAUACUCCCCAGUUCGAUUGAUAGUUACCCUUGCACCGUUCUUGUCUCAGAGGGGGGACGAAAGCUUUCCAUCUGGCAUUCCUCCCUCGGCAUCAGACUGCACGGUCCAUGGGAGAUCUCGUCCUUAAAUCCGAAAGUAUAUAUAUAUAUAUAUAUAUAUAUAUAUAUAUAUAUUUUUUCAGGAGUAAAUAUAAAUAAAUAUGGGCUCCUUGCCUUCUGUCGGGGUACCACCCACGCAUGGGAUUGUCUGCACAGGGGAAGCAACAGAGUGCGUAGCGCAAGACUGUUGGACAGGAUCAUGAUGAAAGGAUCGGUGGAGGAGCUUCCCUGAGAUGAUAAUGUUACGGGGAAUGAUAUCACACCAUCCAUCCUGCAAUAUUUAAACGCGGGAGUAUCUGCCUCCGUAGCGCGCUUUCUGUGACAGUGACAUUCUUUUUGCUUGUUUAUAUCCAAUAGCAGGCUUUACAUGCGCUAUAAAGCAAGCAUUACAAAAGCUCGAUUAAGCGCCUAAGAUACGCAUAAUUUAUAACCCGGACAAAUCGUGGAUUCAUAUGCAUCUCCCUCAUUAUAACAUCAUAUCAAAUAAUAGUAAUGAACAGGUUCUGUGUUUCUCCGUUCAUCAUCGAAAGGGCUGUUGUCGCAAGCUCCAUCCCUGGCCAACAUCCAACAUUCCCAUCGCGAUUCUUUUCCACAUCGAACAACAACAGCACAAACGCACAUAUCGCGAGCUGACCUCGCCCGCCGGUCAUAAUGGGUAACUACGAUACCUACAAAACCCUGUUGAUCUUCUUCUCCCCACUCCUCUUUCGCAAGGCGAGAUCUUGCUUCCACUCCCUCCGCUCCUCGCUCGCCCAACGUCCCCAGCCUCGUCCCUUGCCGCCAGGAGCAGCCCUUGCCCUGAACAUUCUCUUCAUCUCCACCUGUCUAUUCCUCUUACUUUCAUUCCCCGCCUGGACAGAUCUGAACCCGCAUGCGCCGUCCUCGAACAUCUUCGCCCUCACUCAAUCUCGCCUUAACACUCCGACCGAAAUCCUCUUUAACCGCCUCGCCCGCCUCCGCCCAAACAAUACCCUCACCAGCCUCGACACCCAGCUAAAAGCAAAAUUCACCUCCCCCACCCUCCGUAGACUCUACCUACGCUACGGUCCGGAAACCCUACUAGCCUGCCCUUUCUGCACCCCGGAUGCCGAAACAACAUACCUCCUCUACUACCUCCCCUUACACACCUUCCUCCCCCAUCUCCUCCACCUCCUAAUAACUGGCCUCGUAACCUCCAACCCCCUCACCGGCUCCAGUGCUAGCCGCUUCCGCUCGAAAUUCACCCUAACAGCCCUCUCCCUUCUUCUCCUCGAAACCCUCCUCGUUGCCUUCUACAACCCCGCCUCCUCCCCCAACCCCGCAAAAGCACACCACAAAACCCCCUCCGCAAAUCCACAAGACAUCCCCACAAGCUUCCACAACAACCUCACGACCUUCCGCCUACUCACCUUUACAAUCUUCGACGCUCUCGCCGCCGGCACCAUCUACCUCGCUGCCACGCAUAGAUUCUUCUACACACCCCCGACCCCGGCAGAGGUCACGGAUCAACUCGUUGCGAUCGCCUCCGCGACCCUGGCCAACGCCACGGCGAAAGUGCAUGCGGUUAGCGUCGUGCGGAACGCGACUGUGCGGGAUCGCGGGCUGAAAGCGAGGGAUGAUGCGUACUGGACGGCUGUGGUGGCUAUGGAGGGCUCUGGGUUGUUGGGGACAUCUCUGGGAGGGCUAGGGGAGGGGGGUAGUGUUUGGGAAGAAGAGGAGGUUGUUAGGGCGAUGACGAGCGUUAUGCGGAGGAGAAAUGCGGGGAGGAAGGGGGAUGUGGUUGAUGUUGGGCGGUUGGGGGUUGAGGCGAACUCGUAUGUUGAGGGGAUUACGGCGGGGUUGGGGAGGGGGAUGAUGAUGAUGAUGAUGGUGAUGGUGAUGGUGGUUAUGAUGGUAAUAGCCGAGAUGGAAAUGGGAGUGGGAGAAGUAGAAGUAGGAGUUGAUUGGAUUUUAUUUUGUGUGUUGAUUUUUUCUGGUUCUAUGCAUUUUUUUUUUCUUUUGUUGGUUUAUUUAGAGGGGGUUCUGCAUUGAUAGAUAUGAGCGUAUGCAAUAUUUUAUCCUUUCUUCUGUAUACAGUCGCUCAUCAAGGUACAUUUAAAAGCCGAAAGAAAAAGAAAUGGGUCCCAAACCGAUGCACGACAAAAUGGCAAAGGAGAUAAGAGGAAAAUUUUGGCCUAGGGAAAGGGUAUAAGUACAAUAGCAAACGAAGGGUAGUUCAAACACUAGCUACCCUCACCAACCCAAGAUAUAGAACCACUGGUGUGACGCCACAACUCACAAACGAGUGCAUAUGAUAUCAAAAGAAAAGAAAAGAAGGGAAACAUCAGGUGUCUAGAAUCGCAGAAUCCAGGGAAAUGCCUAAGACCAAUACACAAAGAAAAAUUAAAAGAAUCUACACAGCGCGAU